AACGAACGCUGGCGGCAGGCUUAACACAUGCAAGUCGAGCGCAUCCUUCGGGGUGAGCGGCAGACGGGUGAGUAACGCGUGGGAAUCUACCUUUUGCUACGGAAUAGCUCCGGGAAACUGGAAUUAAUACCGUAUGUGCCCUUAGGGGGAAAGAUUUAUCGGCAAGAGAUGAGCCCGCGUUGGAUUAGCUAGUUGGUGGGGUAAAGGCCUACCAAGGCGACGAUCCAUAGCUGGUCUGAGAGGAUGAUCAGCCACAUUGGGACUGAAACACGGCCCAAACUCCUACGGGAGGCAGCAGUGGGGAAUAUUGGACAAUGGGCGCAAGCCUGAUCCAGCCAUGCCGCGUGAGUGAUGAAGGCCUUAGGGUUGUAAAGCUCUUUCACCGGAGAAGAUAAUGACGGUAUCCAGAGAAGAAGUCCCGGCUAACUUCGUG
rnacentral:rRNA from 1 species